rnacentral:rRNA from 1 species
CACGUAGGAGGCGAGCGUUGUCCGGAAUCAUUGGGCGUAAAGAGCGCGCAGGCGGCCCGGCAAGUCGGGUGUGAAAUCCCGGGGCUCAACCCCGGGACUGCAUUCGAUACUGCCGGGCUAGAGGUAGGUAGGGGAGAUCGGAAUUCCUGGUGUAGCGGUGAAAUGCGUAGAUAUCUGGAGGAACACCGGUGGCGAAGGCGGCAUCCUGGACCGGUAUUGACGCUGAGGCGCGAAAGCCAGGGGAGCAAACGGG